UUUAGUUAGAUUCACCGUGUCACGUGAUAUAGUGCCAUAUGCACUGAUCCGGUCCUCUUCCGGUCCUUGACGCGAUUACAAGUAUGUGGUACCUCGUUGUUACUAGUCGUGAUUCUUUACUCUUUAUUUAGGAUUACUUCAAUUGCUAAGGAGACUGGCCAGAGGCUGUACAAAGCUGUUCUUCGGUCCACCCCGUUCAUGGCAUCAGUCACCACCUAUGCAACUGUGGUUUCGGCAGUUGGAUACUGGGUCAUUGAGACUGUUGAGGGUGGAGUGAAUAAGAAGCUUGUUGAGCAGAAUAACACUCUCGCCGUGAAGCUUGAAGCGGAGAAGGUGAAGCGUGAGGGCUUUCAGAGCAUAGCUACCCAUGCCCAUCAGGAGAGUGCCCGCAGGAUUGAUGAAUCAAUGUUUGAUGUACGUCUUCAGCUCAACAAACUGUUCCUCCGCUGGUUGGAGGGACAUGAGGUCAACUUGAAAAGAAUGAAGGACAUGGAGCAAAGGAUUGAUGCAUUGACAAGGGAGGUUGAUGCAUUGAAGAAAUCUCCUUCUGCAAAGGUAAUAAAGUUUAAUUGAAUCGUUUUAUGCUUUAAAAGUCUAUUGUUGAAUCAGUGCUUUUAUUACUUAGUAGCAAAAGUAGAUUUCAAAGAACAUGAAAGGUCCUGAAAUUAAACUUCUUGCAGGAUGAUGAUACGCCAAUCAAGAGGAGCUGAGACCAGACCUGACCGCGCCUGUGGGGGUAAGCACCCCAAGGCGACCUCUUCGCUUGUUGGGGUGAGAACCCGAAGGCGACCUCUCUUCCCUUUGGGGUGAGCACCCAAAGGCAACCUCUGCGAUCUCUCCGUCUGUUGGGGUGAGCACCCGAAGGCGACCUCUGCGAUCUCUCUGUCUGUUGGGGUGAGCACCCGAAGGCGACCUCUGCGAUCUCUCCGUCUGUUGGGGUGAGCACCCGAAGGCGACCUCUGCGAUCUCUCCGUCUGUUGGGGUGAGCACCCGAAGGCGACCUCUGCGAUCUCUCCGUCUGUUGGGGUGAGCACCCGAAGGCGACCUCUCCUUAAGAUACCCAAGCCUCAAUGACUUUACUUCAUGCUUGUGGGAGUGAUACUAAAUCCUCAUUACCAUCUUCAGACCUGUGUUAUGUUAAAGUUUAAGUCUAAAGACCUUGCAUCAUAUCUAUUCAUGAUUUUAGCCAUCAUGUUCUUGUAAGGAUUAUUGCUACCUGCUAUGGUAUUUGUUACUUAGUAGUAACUGAUGUUUCUGCAUAUUGGUUUCGUUUCUGACUGGUUUUACUUUCUGAAUUGCUUUCCAUUCGUUUCUAAACAGUAGCUAUCUGUUUUUCCCCCUAUUUGUAUCACUUAAGCUAAGCAUAUAAUAUGUUGCUACAUGCAAAUUUGGUCAGCAAUCAACCCAGUCGGUUUGAGUCUAUGGAUCGGGUAGAUAAAUAUGAUCUGAGGUUGUGGUAGUAGCUCUCCACGGCAAACAGAUGAUUUGAGGUUGUGGCUGUAGCUCUCUACAGCGAACAGUGCAUCUGUUUUGAGUAUCCUGUCACUUUGUUGUGG
rnacentral:lncRNA from 1 species